rnacentral:rRNA from 1 species
UACGGGGGGAGCAAGCGUUGUUCGGAUUUACUGGGCGUAAAGGGCGCGUAGGCGGUCGUGACAAGUCACUUGUGAAAUCUCCGGGCUUAACUCGGAAAGGUCAAGUGAUACUGUCGGACUAGAGUACAGAAGGGGCAACUGGAAUUCUCGGUGUAGCGGUGAAAUGCGUAGAUAUCUGGAGGAAUACCGGUGGCGAAGGCGGCAUCCUGGACCGACAUUGACGCUGAUGAGCGAAAGCUAGGGGAGCAAACGGG